GCGCUCGCGCGCCGUGUCGCACCCUUCGGGUGCUGGCGCUCCGCGAGGGCGCGGCACGAGCCGCGACGGCCUGUCGGCCUUGCGAGGCUCUGCCUCGAUGCCGGCUACCAUCUGCGCUUGGGGCUUAGGGCUUGUAGCUCAGUUGGUUAGAGCGCGCGCUUGAUAAGCGUGAGGUCGGAGGUUCAAGUCCUCCCAGGCCCACCAUCUCUGAUGGAAGCUGGGUGGCCGUCCAUCUCCUCUACAAAAGGUAUCAGGGGCCGUAGCUCAGCUGGGAGAGCGCCUGCUUUGCAAGCAGGAUGUCGUCGGUUCGAUCCCGUCCGGCUCCACCACUCGCGCAAUCCCGAAGGGAUUAUCGCGGUUCGCGACGAUCCUGCGGAUCGCGCGGAGGUGUUGAGUAGAGAUGAGGUGUCAGAAAAAAAGUCAUUCGUAAAAAAGGUUUGUGGUGAGCGUCUGGCUUGCCGCUUGUUCUGUUUGACAUUGUAAAGAGAAGAUUUGUUCGAACUUCAUGGCAGUAAUGCCGUGAUUUGUCGCGGGAGACGCUCAAUCUCCCGCAUAUGAUGGGCUUGCCUAACCGCACCCUCGAACCGAUCUCGAGAAGCUGGUCUUUUUGUGCCAAU
rnacentral:tRNA from 1 species